GGUGGUGUGACAGCGAUUGUGUCGAAAAUUCUCACUGAUUCGGUCUUUUUUUUGUUUAUUUUUAAUGGAAAAUAGCACCAAUCACUAGCACUAAGUAAUCAGAUGUCGCAGUGUCUCCCAUGUUGUUGUUCUUUAAUGGUGAAACGAGGCGAAAUGAGCGAAACAAAUUGUUACAUAAUUUAUGCUUAUAUUCCUGUGAUUUCAAUUACAAAAUUGAACUUCGUAUCAUAUAUGCAUACUGUCAUUCAUUCCAACAAGUUGACUUAGCGCUCAGUCAAUUUCCAUCCAAUAGACCCAUAAUGCUGUCAAAACCUAAAACUCAUGUUUGAAGCUCACAUAUAAAGGAAUACAAAUCUGCCGAGUUAAGGACUUUUCUGAAUCUCGCAAUUUUGGUGGUGUAACCUGCAACAUCAUGUUUGCUGUGAUGGCUGUUUCUACUUCUGUAGCAUCCCAGCUGAGAGAUAGAGUUUCAGUGACAUGAAGAGUGUGAUGUGAAUAAUGCCGUGUGUAUGCAAAAAUGUUACAGUUCUUCUUGACG